rnacentral:lncRNA from 1 species
GUUCGAGUUGCGUCACGCCGCCUUCUUCCUCCGUUCCGGUCCCGAUUCAGAUGUCAAAGCAGGCGGGGAGUCGAGCCUUGUUUCUUUUCCGCCUCUUCCGCCAUGGUUCUGCCGCCAUCUCCACCGUUUGUGGAAGAUCAGCGAUUCAGCGCCGUUGUUUCGUUCGUGACGCUGCUGCUGUUGUCACGCAAUUUCCGCCGAGGCAGCAGGAGAUGCCGCUGAAAUCUGUCCUCUGCUCAAGAACCGGCUCAAGCCUCACUCUCUCCCUUUUUCUAUUGAAUUAUGGUAUUUCUAUAAUUGAUUAUGCAAGAGAUAAAACUAAGUUCGUGGUUUACUAAUGUAUCAAGAAAUUUCCUUGCUUGCCUCGUGUGAUAAGAAAAUAUAGCAUAAACUGAUUUAUGCCUAAAGAUCAUAUGAGUUUGCUAAGUCUCUUUAUGAAUAUACUCAUUGUAUGCUUAGUAUCCUUUAAUCGAUCAUGCUUGUUGGAUGAAAAACGAAUGGAUUGAAUGAGCUGAGCCUAGUGUUUACCUUGUCUAUUUGUGCUUGAUUGGCUGAUCUGUUUUCUUCUUCUUGGUGAAAAUUUGUUGGCAUAUACUGUUUGAAUAAGGAGAUCUCGGAGAUUAUAGAUGUUAUUUCGGGUGUUUUUUUCUGUGUGAAACUUGGUUUUGAUGUUGGCAUGAGCUUGCUGUAAACAUUCUGUUGGAAUAUACGAAUUGGAUUUUCUUAAACAGCUCCACUGGCGAUCUAUUGAGUAAGAAGGGAGAAGGAUUUGGUGGGGAGCAAAAGAUAAUGGAGUUGGUGGUGCACUAGUGUGGUGGGGA